AUGGAAUGGCUAUGGAAAAUCCUCUUCCUGCUCACAGUUUCCACAGGUGUGGACUCCCAGGAGCAGCUGGUGCAGUCUGGGCCUGAGUUGAAGAAGCCGGGAACAUCAGUGAAGAUCUCCUGCCAGGCAUCCGGAUACACCUUCACUAACUACUAUAUUAACUGGGUGCAGCAGCGACCUGGACAAGGGCUUGAGUGGAUAGGACAUGUAAGACCCAGAACUGGUGGUACAAACUAUGCACCGAAGUUCCAGGGCAGAGUCACCCUCACUGCAGACAAGUCCACCAGCACAGCCUACAUGGAAAUGAGAAAUCUGACGCCUGAAGAUACAGGCACAUAUUUCUGUGCGAGAGGAUACUCUGCCCAGUUUUUCCCCUUGUUUUAUGGAGGGACACCCCUGGCUGUGCUCAGGGUGAUGAGGUACGGCAGUCUCCUCCUAGAUCAAGUUGCUGCAAUUUGUUUGUCAUCAGGAUGUCAUAUCAACCUGCUGUGGGCUGGUGCCUUAGCAUUAUUAGAGACUCCCUGGGAAGUGUUUGAUUUCUGGUGA